ensembl:lncRNA novel transcript, sense intronic to GALNT10
ACCCACCUUAGCCACCCAAAGUGCCUGGGAUUACAGGCAUGAGCCACCAUGCCUGGCUAUUUCCUUCUUUUUUAAGGCUGAAUAAUAUUCGUGUGUGCGUGUGUGUGUGUGUGUGUGUGUGAGAUAGAUACACACACACCACAUUUUCUUUAUUCAUCUGUUGGUGGACACUUAGGUUGUUUCCAUAUCUUGGCUAUUGGGAGUAGUACUGCAAUGAACAUGGCAGUACAGAUAUCUCUUAAGGAUAGUGAUUUUAUUCUCUUUGGAUAUAUAUCCAGAAAUGAGAUUGCUGGAUCAUAUGGUAGUUCUGUUUUUAACGUUUUGAGGAACCUCCAUACUGUUUUCCAUAAUGGCUGUAUGGAAAAUAUGAGCCAAAGCUCAUUCUCUAAUAACAUUUCUUGACUAGUGCAUUCAAGUAUCUGCCCUGUCUUAACAUUUUAGCUAAUUGCUAACACAGCACAUGCAGUACAUACUUUCAGCAGGACUGAACAUUUUUAGUCAUCUAACAAAGACAUUUCAUCUCAUGACAAGUUUUUUGGACAUACCUCAAUGUGCUGUGUCUGUAGCUAACUUAAUUACAGGAGCCGCCUUGGCAGUACCAGGAACCAAAUGUUAUGACCAGCAACUCUCCUAUAGGUAGUACUGCUUUUAUAACAGUGUAAAUCACAGUUGUGCCAAUUUUUUUUUUAAAGAAGCUAAAUGGAAGAUUUAAACCUUAAGUUGUUUGGGCUUUGAAUCCUUGUGUUCUUAGAACACAAGCUUUAGUCAGACAGCAGACUUUGAGCUAGUACUUAACCUCUCUGUGCCUGAUUGAGUAAAACUGGGCUACUUUCUCAGAGUUUUAUAGAUUAAUUGAGAUAUUUUGUGUAGAGAGCUUAGAACAGUGGCUGGCUCAGAGCAUCUAUCAACCUUGAUACCAUCAUAUUCCUUGCUAGGAAAUUCUGUGUUUAUUCAUCCCUUCUUUUUCUUUCAUCCUCCUUUCUAGUUCCACAUUGAAGAUCCCAAACUUAAACCAUCAUUAAUAAUAAUAUAUGAGAACAGUAAUAAAUGUCACCAUUUAUUAACACCUAAUGUGUGCCAAGAUCUGUUCAUUUAUGAUCUCACCGAGUCCUGUGAGGUGAAACUGAGGAUUAGGAAGGUGUAAACUGGACAAGCGCAUGGCAGAGUCAGAAUCCAAACUCAAAUUUAUUUGGAUCAAGAGUGAUACACUAUUAUGCACUACUUCCUGUUACCUCCUAUGUGGUGAUAGGAAUAACUUAUAAGGAUUUUUUUUUUUUUAGACAGGAUCUUGCUCUGUCAUUCAGGUUGAAGUGCAAUGAUGCAACCAUAGCCCACUGCAGCCUCAAACUCCUGGGCUCAAGCAGUCAUCCUACCUCGCCUCCCAAGUAACUGGGACUAUAGGCAUGCACCACCACACCCAGCUAAUUUUUAAUUUUUAGUAGAGACAAGGUCUCGCUGUGUUGCCCAGGCUGGUCUCAAAUUCCUGAGCCCAAGUGAUCCUCCCGCCUCUGCCUCCCAAGGUGCUGGGAUUACAGGCGUGAGCCACCACCACACCCAGUCUACUUCUAAGGAUUUAAUGCCUUAUGUUUUCUUCAUUUAUUUCUCAUAGAACCAUUCACUCUUAGCACUUUGACUUUGAAAAUCAGGGACCAGGUUGAGCCAGACAAAAUAUUCACCUAUAAGGAGAAGGAAUGAAAAACCAGACAUUUUUCUACUUGGCUAUCAAUCCC